rnacentral:rRNA from 1 species
AGAGUUUGAUCCUGGCUCAGAUUGAACGCUGGCGGCAUGCCUUACACAUGCAAGUCGAACGGCAGCACGGGAGCAAUCCUGGUGGCGAGUGGCGAACGGGUGAGUAAUAUAUCGGAACGUGCCCAGUCGUGGGGGAUAACGCAGCGAAAGCUGUGCUAAUACCGCAUACGAUCUCUGGAUGAAAGCGGGGGACUCGCAAGGGCCUCGCGCGAUUGGAGCGGCCGAUAUCAGAUUAGCUAGUUGGUGGGGUAAAAGCCCACCAAGGCGACGAUCUGUAGCUGGUCUGAGAGGACGACCAGCCACACUGGAACUGAGACACGGUCCAGACUCCUACGGGAGGCAGCAGUGGGGAAUUUUGGACAAUGGGCGCAAGCCUGAUCCAGCAAUGCCGCGUGCAGGAUGAAGGCCUUCGGGUUGUAAACUGCUUUUGUACGGAACGAAACGGCUCUU